rnacentral:rRNA from 1 species
GGAAUGUCGAUGCUUACACAUGCAGUCGAUUCAAGUUACCUUCGGGUAAUGAGGAUGGCGGACGGGUGAGUAACGCGUAAGGAACUUGCCUCUUGGACUGGGACAACUGUUGGAAACGACAGCUAAUACCGGAUAUUAUGAGAUUCUCGCAUGAGAAACUUAUGAAAGCUAUAUGCGCCAAGAGAGAGCCUUGCGUUCCAUUAGCUAGUUGGUGGGGUAACGGCCCACCAAGGCGACGAUGGAUAGCCGGCCUGAGAGGGUGAACGGCCACAAGGGGACUGAGACACGGCCCUUACUCCUACGGGAGGCAGCAGUGGGGAAUAUUGGACAAUGGGCCACAAGCCUGAUCCAGCAAUUCUGUGUGCACGAUGAAGGUCUUCGGAUUGUAAAGUGCUUUCAGUUGGGAAGAAGAAAGUGACGGUACCAACAGAAGAAGCGACGGCUAAAUACGUGCCAGCAGCCGCGGUAAUACGUAUGUCGCAAGCGUUAUCCGGAUUUAUUGGGCGUAAAGCGCGUCUAGGCGGAAAAAUAAGUCUGAUGUUAAAAUGCGGGGCUCAACUCCGUAUUGCGUUGGAAACUGUUUUUCUAGAGUACUGGAGAGGUGGGCGGAACUACAAGUGUAGAGGUGAAAUUCGUAGAUAUUUGUAGGAAUGCCGAUGGAGAAGUCAGCUCACUGGACAGAUACUGACGCUGAAGCGCGAAAGCGUGGGGAGCAAACAGGAUUAGAUACCCUGGUAGUCCACGCCGUAAACGAUGAUCACUAGGUGUUGGGGGUCGAACCUCAGCGCCCAAGCUAACGCGAUAAGUGAUCCGCCUGGGGAGUACGCACGCAAGUGUGAAACUCAAAGGAAUUGACGGGGACCCGCACAAGCGGUGGAGCAUGUGGUUUAAUUCGACGCAACGCGAGAAACCUUACCAGCGUUUGACAUCCUAAGAAGGUUCCAGAGAUGGAUUCGUGCUCGGCUUGGCGGGAACUUAGUGAACAGU